rnacentral:rRNA from 1 species
UACGUAGGGGGGCAAGCGUUGUCCGGAUUUAUGGGCGUAAAGAGCGUGUAGGCGGCUUUACAGGUCCGUUGUGAAAACUCGGAGGCUCAACCUCGAGACGCCGGUGGAAACCGUAAGGCUAGAGUCCGGAAGAGGACGAGUGGGAAUUCCUGGUGUAGCGGUGAAAUGCGCAGAUAUCAGGAAGAACGACCCGUGGCGGAAGGCGGCUCGUCGUGGGACGGUACUGACGGCUGAGACGACGAAAGCGUGGGGGAGCGAACAGGG